rnacentral:rRNA from 1 species
UGGGGAAUUUUGGACAAUGGGCGAAAGCCUGAUCCAGCAAUGCCGCGUGCAGGAUGAAGGCCUUCGGGUUGUAAACUGCUUUUGUACGGAACGAAAAAGCUUCUCCUAAUACGAGAGGCCCAUGACGGUACCGUAAGAAUAAGCACCGGCUAACUACGUGCCAGCAGCCGCGGUAAUACGUAGGGUGCGAGCGUUAAUCGGAAUUACUGGGCGUAAAGCGUGCGCAGGCGGUUAUGUAAGACAGAUGUGAAAUCCCCGGGCUCAACCUGGGACCUGCAUUUGUGACUGCAUAGCUAGAGUACGGCAGAGGGGGAUGGAAUUCCGCGUGUAGCAGUGAAAUGCGUAGAUAUGCGGAGGAACACCGAUAGCGAAGGCAAUCCCCUGGGCCUGUACUGACGCUCAUGCACGAAAGCGUGGGGAGCAAACA